UACGUAGGGUGCAAGCGUUUGUCCGGAAUUAUUGGGCGUAAAGAGCUCGUAGGCGGUCUGUCGCGUCUGCUGUGAAAACCCGGGGCUCAACCCCGGGCUUGCAGUGGAUACGGGCAGACUAGAGUUCGGUAGGGGAGACUGGAAUUCCUGGUGUAGCGGUGAAAUGCGCAGAUAUCAGGAGGAACACCGGUGGCGAAGGCGGGUCUCUGGGCCGAUACUGACGCUGAGGAGCGAAAGCGUGGGGAGCAAACAGG
rnacentral:rRNA from 1 species